UGGUUUUUCCCGGCUGUGUGGCGGGGCUCUGGGGUGAAGGACGCACGUGUCCUGAAGGUCUCGAGGCUGCAAUGAGACCGGUCGUGUAGUCGCGUGGAAAGGGUCAGGGCGUUUGCAGGGACCCAGAGAGCGCGCUCCGGGACGAGUCUGGGAGUUUUCUGCGGGGAUGGUGGUAGCUGUUUGGGGCGCUUGGGAGGUGGCGACUCCUACAGCUGGCGCGAACAGGGAUGCUGGGGCGGACCCCCCUCCGUCUGCCCCUCUGCGGAGCUCGCCCCUUGUGCUGCCCGCACGCCGCGGGCCUCCGCCAUCUUGUCCGUUUGGUUAGGGGAGAGAGGUGGGCGGGCUGGGAGGCGACAUUGAGUUCCUUCCGAAUGUUUCCAUCCUCGUGCUACCUACAGACGCUUCUUUAGGAAUUCGCUCUUGCUUUUAAAAUUCUGGACGGCUGGCAUUUUUGUGCAACCUAGAACAAAGACUAGGGGACGGGAGAGGAGAGGGUUUUGGGGGGUUCCAUAGGGACACGGAUAGGAUAUCGAGUUACCAAAGAAGUGAGAGUGAGGUUUCUAGGUGAGUUGCCGGGUUUGAGAACCAUGUAGGAAUGGAUAUAGAAGGAAGCAAACGAGUCCUUUGCUUAUUUGCGGGAGUCAUUCUGACCGUUCAUGCCACGUGAGAGGGUUUUGUUAACGUUAGUUAUUCGCUUAGGUCCGUUAAGGUCUUGAACAUCGGUUUCCUGACUUAAGCGGGGCCCAUGCUCCUGCCGAGGAGGCUCAGCAUGGAAGCAGCUAGCCGAUUUCCUAUCUCCCACCACGACACAGCAAGGAGCUCUACUUGACUUUCCUCCUUCAUGCAACCACCUAGAAAAGCGUUGAGUUUGCCCAUGUCACAAGUGAAAGUAUUUUUCUCAUGCAUUCAUCAUUGGCACGUCCUCUUUUGGCAAUGUUAAAAUCUACCAACAAAUGGGAAAGUUGAACAUUUGCACCAUCUUGCCACAUUCAAAAACCUUGUGCUUAGUGUUUUGAAAGAGCAGCUUCCAGCCUAGGACCACCCACCAUGCCCAUCCAGGUGCUGAAGGGCCUGACCAUCACUCAGUAAGAACAGAGGAGGCUGCCUGUUACUCGUGGCGAUGGUGAGAAGGCGGACGUAGACAGCAUCCCUCCAGACUCUGCUGUUUCCUGCCUAGGUGUGGCUGCAGCCAUGGCUAGGAAAGUGCUGGCACCCACCCACCUGGGCCGGAGCUGGUUCUGCUCCUGCUACAGGGACACUGAGCUCCUGGCUAUCUCGGCGCUUCGGGCAAGAACUGCAACAGGCUUUUCUGGGUCCUGCAGGUGUACGGCCAGGCCCCUGCCUCGUGCCUCAGCUCUCGAGAGCUGCUGCUGCGGGGUGACCUGAUCCAACCUGACAAGGUGCCAUCUUCAGCUACCACUGCAAGGCCCUGAGGGCAACAGCAGCACGGCACUGCCCACCCGGCUGCUGAUGGCCUGGUGCCAGCUGGGAGUCCUCCUGGCACUUCGAGGCCACUGAGCUGCCUUUCCAGCCCCGGCCCACCAUGGACAGGGUAUCCAGCUUCCUCCUCAACCUUGUCCUCUGCCCCUGAGCCAGUGACGCCCAAGGACAUGCCUGUUACCCAGGUCCUGUACCAGCGCCAGCUGGUCAAGGGCAUGACAGUGCUGGAGGCCGUCCUGGAGAUCCAGGCCAUCACUGACAGCAGGCUGCUCUCCAUGGUGCCAAGGCCCACCAGGCUCAUGCUGGGACCCAACCCAGGGCACAAGGACUUGGCUGCUGAGCCACACACCCAGGAGAAGGUGGAUAAGUGGGCUACCAAGGGCUUCCUGCAGGCUAGGGGAGGAGCCACCCCCGCUUCCCUAUUGUGACCAGGCCUGUGGGGAAGAGCUGUCCAUAUGCCACCGUGAGACCUGGGCCUGGCUCUCAAGGACAGACACCACCUGGCCUGGUGCUCCAGGGGUGAAGCAGGCCAGAAUCCUGGGGGAGCUGCUCCUGGUUUGAGCUGCAGUCGGGAAGUGUGGGACAUGGUAGGGGAGGCAAAAAGCCUUGGGCACUACCCUCCCCGUGGAGCCGUUCGGCGUUCCUCGAGCUAGCCACACCCUGACACCAUGUUCAAGGACCCCGGAAGAGAAGUGUCUGCCCCCAACCUCCCCUGUGGGUGUCACUGGCCAGACAUCAUGAGGGGAGCAGGCCUCGUGAGUGGAUACUUACCAUGAGUCCGUGGGGGCCGUGAUCCCCCAGGCAUCAUGUGCCAUGUUACAUUUCUGCCCGGACAGCAGGGUAGGUGGGUACCAUGUGUGCCCACCCCUCCACCACAUGGGGCCCCAAAGCACUGCAGGCCAAGCAGGGUGACCCCACGCCCUUGACAUAAAAGCAUAUUGAAGUGUUUA